AGGAUUAACGCUGGCGGCGUGCAUGAAACAUGCAAGUCGAGCGCGGUGUGAUGCGGGGUAACCCAAUUCACAUCUAGCGGCGAACGGGUGAGUAACACGUGAGCAACCUACCUUUGAGUUGGGGAUAGCCCUGGGAAACCAGGAUUAAUACCCGAUGUGGUCACAACAGGACAUCCUGAUGUGAGUAAAGGCGUAAGCCGCUCAAUGACGGGCUCGCGGCCUAUUAGCUUGUUGGUGGGGUAACGGCCUACCAAGGCGAUGAUGGGUAGCUGGUCUGAGAGGACGAUCAGCCACACUGGGACUGAGACACGGCCCAGACUCCUACGGGAGGCAGCAGUUAGGAAUUUUCCGCAAUGGGCGAAAGCCUGACGGAGCAACGCCGCGUGAGUGAUGAAGACCUUCGGGUUGUAAAGCUCUGUCGGAGGGUAAGAACACAAUGACGGUACCCUCCAAGAAGCCCCGGCUAACUACGUGCCAGCAGCCGC
rnacentral:rRNA from 1 species